GACGUAGGGUGCGAGCGUUGUCCGGAAUUAUUGGGCGUAAAGAGCUCGUAGGCGGCCUGUUGCGUCUGCUGUGAAAGCCCGGGGCUUAACCCCGGGUCUGCAGUGGAUACGGGCAGGCUAGAGUUCGGCAGGGGAGACUGGAAUUCCUGGUGUAGCGGUGAAAUGCGCAGAUAUCAGGAGGAACACCGGUGGCGAAGGCGGGUCUCUGGGCCGAUACUGACGCUGAGACACGAAAGCGUGGGGAGCAAACAGG
rnacentral:rRNA from 1 species